GUUGCUUACUAACAUAGUAUCAACUUUGUUAGUCUUCUUGUGAUCUUUAAAUGUUCGUCGCAUAAACAAUUUGAAUACCAGUUUCUUUUGUUGUAUUACAUUGGCCCAAUCCCAAUUUAGAUCUAUAGAUUUUCUUCCAUAAAAAAUCAUAUGUAUUGAUUUUAUCGAUAGAAAAAAUAAUUGAGACCGCUAAUCUUCAACGAUCGUACGAAUAUCGCCAUACAACAAAAGAAAUGCAUCUUUGGCUCCAGUCGUCGUCUUCUCCAUGAAAACUUCCAUGGUUUGAUUGAUGAUACUAGAGUUUUCAUAUUCAGAUACCAAAUAUACUGUAUCAGAAUAUGAUUUUUAAAUAUUUUUCCUUCGUUAUUGAAUGUGAUCUUCUACUUCUAACCUCUAAGCCAUCCACGUUGUAUUCCAAUUACCAGAAGUGACCACAUACCAUCAUCUCGUCAUGUAACUUCCACGGACCGAGUUUUCCAGGAUCCCAAAUUCGUCGACAAAAACGCCAUUUACAAAGAAAAACCGCUGCGAAUUGGAUAAAGAAUUGACAAUAUCUUACCAAAUUAACAUCGCAGUGGGUUUUCUCCACCACGAAGAUGGAAGAUGCCUGACUGGAACCGUCAUAAAAGCGCGUCACAUUGACAUCAAAAUCGGAAGUUAUCGUCUUCAUGAAAAGAGGAUAAAGAAAAUCAAUUGUCAUCUUCAUGACUUUCUCUCCUAAUCACAAAACGAAAAAAACAAAAGACAAAAAAUAGAAAAAAAGAGAGUCAUCAUGAGAAAAAGGACAAUAUAUUUCUCUCUCUCACUCAAGAUCUAUUACGAUCUCACUCAGAUAGAGAAAAAGGUUGAUGAGAAAAAACUGAAAAUAAUCGCCAUGGAAAUCGCCUCCAGAGUGAGACAUGGAACGUUUUUUAUCUCCUCUCAC
rnacentral:lncRNA from 1 species